UGCAAGUCGAGCGGAAAGGCCACUUCGGUGGUACUCGAGCGGCGAACGGGUGAGUAACACGUGAGUAAUCUGCCCUUGGCUUUGGGAUAGCCACCGGAAACGGUGAUUAAUACCGGAUACGACCACUUCACGCAUGUGAUGGUGGUGGAAAGUUUUUCGGCCAGGGAUGUGCUCGCGGCCUAUCAGCUUGAUGGUGAGGUAAUGGCUCACCAUGGCUUCGACGGGUAGCCGGCCUGAGAGGGUGACCGGCCACACUGGGACUGAGACACGGCCCAGACUCCUACGGGAGGCAGCAGUGGGGAAUAUUGGACAAUGGGCGGAAGCCUGAUCCAGCAACGCCGCGUGAGGGAUGACGGCCUUCGGGUUGUAAACCUCUUUCAGCAGGGACGAAGCGCAAGUGACGGUACCUGCAGAAGAAGCACCGGCCAACUACGUGCCAGCAGCCGCGGUAAUACGUAGGGUGCGAGCGUUGUCCGGAAUUAUUGGGCGUAAAGGGCUCGUAGGCGGUCUGUCGCGUCGGGAGUGAAAACCAGGUGCUUAACACCUGGCUUGCUUUCGAUACGGGCAGACUAGAGGUAUUCAGGGGAGAACGGAAUUCCUGGUGUAGCGGUGAAAUGCGCAGAUAUCAGGAGGAACACCGGUGGCGAAGGCGGUUCUCUGGGAAUAUCCUGACGCUGAGGAGCGAAAGUGUGGGGAGCGAACAGGAUUAGAUACCCUGGUAGUCCACACCGUAAACGUUGGGCGCUAGGUGUGGGGUCCAUUCCACGGAUUCCGUGCCGCAGCUAACGCAUUAAGCGCCCCGCCUGGGGAGUACGGCCGCAAGGCUAAAAC
rnacentral:rRNA from 1 species